UCCAGCUUAUCGCUGGCGGUCUCCUGAGAGUGCCCAACUAAAUGCUGGCAACUAAUGGCGAGGGUUGCGCUCGUUGCGGGACUUAACCCAACAUCUCACGACGCGAGCUGACGACAACCAUGCAGCACCUGUGUUCCCGUUCCCUUUCGGGCACACCCGGCUUUCACCAGGCUCCAGGACAUGUCAAGGGUAGGUAAGGUUUUUCGCGUUGCAUCGAAUUAAACCACAUGCUCCACCGCUUGUGCGGGCCCCCGUCAAUUCCUUUGAGUUUCAGCCUUGCGGCCGUACUCCCCAGGCGGGGCACUUACUGCGUUAGCGACGGCACCGGGAGGGUCGCUCCCCCCGACGCCUAGUGCCCAUCGUUUACGGCGUGGACUAC
rnacentral:misc_RNA from 1 species